GCGUAAGAAGUGCAUUAGAACAUUUAGUGCUACAUAAUUUGGUACGUUUACUUUCCAUUGAAUGCAGCCUUUUUUUUUCCAAGUGCUGACUGUAGAGUCAGACUUGCACCUGUUGAGGUUUAUGUCAGACUCUGACAGCAGAAAGGAGCCUUCAAAACAGCAAGUCCCUGUGGCAGGCAUAGUACUGCUGAAUCAAAUGCGAACUCCAUACCACAAAUAAGAAAUACCCCU